CACUGUUGAACGAAGAUGAACGAGGACAAACAUUUGACAGAAGAACUAAAUGUUUGUCUGUACUUCUGAACGAAGGCAGAGACUUCCGGUCACGCGGGCUCCGCUCUCACUGCUGAUGUGCUCGCGGACUUUAUGCUAACGCGUUAGCAUUUAAGCUAGCGCACUUUCUCCGGAGUUUAUUGACAAACGGAUGGAUUAUUUAAUCCCGAACGAGAGUGACAGGACAUGGGAAUAACUGGACACGCUGAGGUGAAGAGAAACACUCGUUGUGAGAUGACGACAUGACGUCAGCGAUGAAAAAGAAAAGAAGAAGAAAGCACGAACCUCUUAUUCACCUUCUAUCUUCUUAUGGGGUGGUUCUCGAUACAGUCAAAUGAAGAAGUGAGUACCGGACACUAUCGGCUCACUUCACGCCUGCAAAUCAAGACAAAAAGAAACAGAUCGGCAUGUGAAGCCCUGUUCUUGCCACCUUCUCAUACACUCCUAAUGGAAGCAGGACAAAGAGCUGGCUGUGCCAUUUCCUUGGAAAUUAGCAGCCUUUGGAUGUGUCUCAUUUAAACACAAGAAAAGCAUGGGGGGCUCUGAACUGAGGCUGACUUCUGUGUGUGUGUGUGUGUGUGUGCACGUGUGUGUG